AGCCGCGGUGAUACGUAGGGUGCGAGCGUUGUCCGGAAUUAUUGGGCGUAAAGAGCUCGUAGGCGGUCUGUCGCGUCGGAAGUGAAAACUCGGGGCUCAACCCCGAGCCUGCUUUCGAUACGGGCAGACUUGAGGAAUGUAGGGGAGAACGGAAUUCCUGGUGGAGCGGUGGAAUGCGCAGAUAUCAGGAGGAACACCAGUGGCGAAGGCGGUUCUCUGGACAUUAACUGACGCUGAGGAGCGAAAGCGUGGGGAGCAAACAGGCUUAGAUACCCUGGUAGUCCACGCCGUAAACGGUGGGCACUAGGUGUGGGGGACAUUCCACGUUCUCCGUGCCGUAGCUAACGCAUUAAGUGCCCCGCCUGGGGAGUACGGCCGCAAGGCUAAAACUCAAAGGAAUUGACGGGGGCCCGCACAAGCGGCGGAGCAUGUUCAUUAAUUCGAUGCAACGCGAAGAACCUUACCUGGGUUUGACAUAUACCGGAAACAUCUGGAGACAGGUGCCCCGCAAGGUCGGUAUACAGGAGGUGCAUGGCC
rnacentral:rRNA from 1 species